GUUUGAUCCUGGCUCAGGAUGAACGCUGGCGGCGUGCCUAACACAUGCAAGUCGAGCGAUUCUCUUCGGAGAAGAGCGGCGGACGGGUGAGUAACGCGUGGGUAACCUGCCCUGUACACACGGAUAACAUACCGAAAGGUAUGCUAAUACGGGAUAACAUAAGAAAUUCGCAUGUUUUUCUUAUCAAAGCUCCGGCGGUACAGGAUGGACCCGCGUCUGAUUAGCUAGUUGGUGAGGUAACGGCUCACCAAGGCGACGAUCAGUAGCCGACCUGAGAGGGUGAUCGGCCACAUUGGAACUGAGACACGGUCCAAACUCCUACGGGAGGCAGCAGUGGGGAAUAUUGCACAAUGGGCGAAAGCCUGAUGCAGCAACGCCGCGUGAGCGAUGAAGGCCUUCGGGUCGUAAAGCUCUGUCCUCAAGGAAGAUAAUGACGGUACUUGAGGAGGAAGCCCCGGCUAACUACGUGCCAGCAGCCGCGGUAAUACGUAGGGGGCUAGCGUUAUCCGGAUUUACUGGGCGUAAAGGGUGCGUAGGCGGUCUUUUAAGUCAGGAGUGAAAGGCUACGGCUCAACCGUAGUAAGCUCUUGAAACUGGAGGACUUGAGUGCAGGAGAGGAGAGUGGAAUUCCUAGUGUAGCGGUGAAAUGCGUAGAUAUUAGGAGGAACACCAGUAGCGAAGGCGGCUCUCUGGACUGUAACUGACGCUGAGGCACGAAAGCGUGGGGAGCAAACAGGAUUAGAUACCCUGGUAGUCCACGC
rnacentral:rRNA from 1 species